AUACCAUGCAAGUCGAGCGGAUGACAGGAGCUUGCUCCUGAAUUCAGCGGCGGACGGGUGAGUAAUGCCUAGGAAUCUGCCUGGUAGUGGGGGACAACGUUUCGAAAGGAACGCUAAUACCGCAUACGUCCUACGGGAGAAAGCGGGGGACCUUCGGGCCUUGCGCUAUCAGAUGAGCCUAGGUCGGAUUAGCUAGUUGGUGAGGUAAUGGCUCACCAAGGCGACGAUCCGUAACUGGUCUGAGAGGAUGAUCAGUCACACUGGAACUGAGACACGGUCCAGACUCCUACGGGAGGCAGCAGUGGGGAAUAUUGGACAAUGGGCGAAAGCCUGAUCCAGCCAUGCCGCGUGUGUGAAGAAGGUCUUCGGAUUGUAAAGCACUUUAAGUUGGGAGGAAGGGCAGUAAAUUAAUACUUUGCUGUUUUGACGUUACCGACAGAAUAAGCACCGGCUAACUCUGUGCCAGCAGCCGCGGUAAU
rnacentral:rRNA from 1 species